AUUGAACGCUGGCGGCAGGCCUAACACAUGCAAGUCGAACGAGCGGCGGACGGGUGAGUAAUGUCUGGGAAACUGCCCGAUAGAGGGGGAUAACUACUGGAAACGGUGGCUAAUACCGCAUACCAUCGGAUGUGCCCAGAUGGGAUUAGCUAGUAGGUGGGGUAAAGGCUCACCUAGGCGACGAUCCCUAGCUGGUCUGAGAGGAUGACCAGCCACACUGGGACUGAGACACGGGCCAGACUCCUACGGGAGGCAGCAGUGGGGAAUAUUGCACAAUGGGCGCAAGCCUGAUGCAGCCAUGCCGCGUGUAUGAAGAAGGCCUUCGGGUUGUAAAGUACUUUCAGCGAGGAGGCGUUACUCGCAGAAGAAGCACCGGCUAACUCCGUGCCAGCAGCCGCGGUAAUUC
rnacentral:rRNA from 1 species